rnacentral:tRNA from 1 species
GCUCAGGUGGUGAAAUUGGCAGACACGCUGUCUUCAGGUGGCAGUAUCGCAAGAUGUAGGGGUUCGACUCCCCUCCUGAGUACCA